rnacentral:rRNA from 1 species
AUUGAACGCUGGCGGCAUGCCUUACACAUGCAAAUCGAACGGUCACGCGCCUUCGUUUGCCGACGAGUGGCGAACGGGUGAGUAAUACAUCCGAACGUGCCCGAUCGUUGUGGGUAACGAAGCGAUAGCUUUGCUAAUACCUCAUACGAUCUACGGAUUAAAGCAGGGUACCGCAAGACCUUGCGCGGGCUUUGCGGCCGAUGGCAGAUUAGGUAGUUGGUGGGAUAAAAGCUUACCAAGCCGACGAUCUGUAGCUGGUCUGAGAGGAUGAUCAGCCACACUGGAACUGAGACACGGCCCAGACUCCUACGGGAGGCAGCAGUGGGGAAUUUUGGACAAUGGGCGCAAGCCUGAUCCAGCCAUGCCGCGUGCAGGAUGAAGGCCUUCGGGUUGUAAACUGAUUUUGUAAGGAACGAAAAGCCUUCUUUUAAUACAGGAGGGUCAUGACGGUACCGUAAGAAUAAGCACCGGCUAACUACGUG